rnacentral:piRNA from 1 species
UAAACUAUAAAAGCUUUGGGGAUUC